rnacentral:rRNA from 1 species
CGAUGUGGGAAGGCCCAGACAGCCAGGAUGUUGGCUUAGAAGCAGCCAUCAUUUAAAGAAAGCGUAAUAGCUCACUGGUCGAGUCGGCCUGCGCGGAAGAUGUAACGGGGCUAAACCAUGCACCGAAGCUGCGGCAGCGACACUCAGGUGUUGUUGGGUAGGGGAGCGUUCUGUAAGCCUGCGAAGGUGGCCUGUGAGGGUUGCUGGAGGUAUCAGAAGUGCGAAUGCUGACAUAAGUAACGAUAAAGCGGGUGAAAAGCCCGCUCGCCGGAAGACCAAGGGUUCCUGUCCAACGUUAAUCGGGGCAGGGUGAGUCGACCCCUAAGGCGAGGCCGAAAGGCGUAGUCGAUGGGAAACGGGUUAAUAUUCCCGUACUUGGUGUUACUGCGAAGGGGGGACGGAGAAGGCUAUGUUGGCCGGGCGACGGUUGUCCCGGUUUAAGCGUGUAGGUGUGUGUUCCAGGUAAAUCCGGUUCACUUUAACACUGAGGCGUGAUGACGAGGCACUACGGUGCUGAAGCAACAAAUGCCCUGCUUCCAGGAAAAGCCUCUAAGCAUCAGGUAACAUCAAAUCGUACCCCAAACCGACACAGGUGGUCAGGUAGAGAAUACCAAGGCGCUUGAGAGAACUCGGGUGAAGGAACUAGGCAAAAUGGUGCCGUAACUUCGGGAGAAGGCACGCUGACACGUAGGUGAAGUGAUUUACUCAUGGAGCUGAAGUCAGUCGAAGAUACCAGCUGGCUGCAACUGUUUAUUAAAAACACAGCACUGUGCAAACACGAAAGUGGACGUAUACGGUGUGACGCCUGCCCGGUGCCGGAAGGUUAAUUGAUGGGGUCAGCGCAAGCGAAGCUCCUGAUCGAAGCCCCGGUAAACGGCGGCCGUAACUAUAACGGUCCUAAGGUAGCGAAAUUCCUUGUCGGGUAAGUUCCGACCUGCACGAAUGGCGUAAUGAUGGCCAGGCUGUCUCCACCCGAGACUCAGUGAAAUUGAACUCGCUGUGAAGAUGCAGUGUACCCGCGGCAAGACGGAAAGACCCCGUGAACCUUUACUAUAGCUUGACACUGAACAUUGAGCCUUGAUGUGUAGGAUAGGUGGGAGGCUUUGAAGUGUGGACGCCAGUCUGCAUGGAGCCGGCCUUGAAAUACCACCCUUUAAUGUUUGAUGUUCUAACGUGGACCCGUGAUCCGGGUUGCGGACAGUGUCUGGUGGGUAGUUUGACUGGGGCGGUCUCCUCCUAAAGAGUAACGGAGGAGCACGAAGGUUGGCUAAUCCUGGUCGGACAUCAGGAGGUUAGUGCAAUGGCAUAAGCCAGCUUGACUGCGAGCGUGACGGCGCGAGCAGGUGCGAAAGCAGGUCAUAGUGAUCCGGUGGUUCUGAAUGGAAGGGCCAUCGCUCAACGGAUAAAAGGUACUCCGGGGAUAACAGGCUGAUACCGCCCAAGAGUUCAUAUCGACGGCGGUGUUUGGCACCUCGAUGUCGGCUCAUCACAUCCUGGGGCUGAAGUAGGUCCCAAGGGUAUGGCUGUUCGCCAUUUAAAGUGGUACGCGAGCUGGGUUUAGAACGUCGUGAGACAGUUCGGUCCCUAUCUGCCGUGGGCGCUGGAGAACUGAGGGGGGCUGCUCCUAGUACGAGAGGACCGGAGUGGACGCAUCACUGGUGUUCGGGUUGUCAUGCCAAUGGCACUGCCCGGUAGCUAAAUGCGGAAGAGAUAAGUGCUGAAAGCAUCUAAGCACGAAACUUGCCCCGAGAUGAGUUCUCCCUGAGACUUUAGGUCUCCUGAAGGAACGUUGAAGACGACGACGUUGAUAGGCCGGGUGUGUAAGCGCAGCGAUGCGUUGAGCUAACCGGUACUAAUGAACCGUGAGGCUUAACCUU